GCUCAGCUAGCUCUGUCAGUAGAACAUAAGACUCUUAAUCUCAGGGUUGUGGGUUUGAGCCCCACAUUGGGCA
rnacentral:tRNA from 1 species